CGGUGCCCCCUCUCAGGCACUGCACCUGCCCUCUCCCACCUCCUCUGGGCACCAGCCUUCUGUGUGAAUUCAUCUGAGAAAAAGAAAGAUGAGAAGCAGAGAAAUCACAAUGCGCUGUGAGCCGGUGGAUGAGCAAACCAGUUUACCAACUUUUCAAGGUUCACAGAGAGGAGCUGAUCUCUGCAAUGGAAUUAAAAACAAAGAUCGGCCACUUGCAACAACAGCAACAAAACAAUAGAGGUUUUUAUUUAUGGAACUGA